UUUCAGCACCAACAUAUGUUGGGCAAUAAAUUCAGUUCACAGGUAAACAGCAUUCUUUCUAACAUUAAUUGGAGCAAUUUCCUGCAAGUUUUAGUUGGCACUGUUUGUGGCUUUUGGUGCCAUGAGCUUUGCUGUGCUUGGCUGACUAUUACAGUUUCCUCAGUAGUCACUCUCACUCUUCAAAGAAAAAUGAGUCUAGAAGGCAUGUGAGAUCAUCACUCCAGAGAAAGCUAUAGAGUUCAACCAACAGUCACAGGGAUUAAUAUAUAGGGAUGAAUAGAGACUUGCAUGGCUCAGCACAAAAUAAAGGCCAGCAAAUAAAAUAUUUCAGUAAACAGCUCUUAUCAUCAUUCUUCUGUUCUUUGUCCUAAUGGAUUUUAGGGCCGUUUAGCUUCUAAUAUAUUCAAGUCACAAUACUAAAAAAAAAAAAGUCUUCAAAUCACAUAUUUGGAAUUCAGUCUUUGUGCACUGUAUGCUUUCUGCAAAGUCUAAACAAUAAUAUUUGAUCUUUACUUUAAAAAACAGCCAUUAUUGACCUAUAUGCUUUCUGUUAGAGAUGUUAUUUGAUUACUUUAUGUUGAUAGAGGAUUCUUAUUUUCACAGUAAUACAUCAUAGGUGACAGUAUAUAAACAACAGAAAAUAAAAACAUUAUCAAUAUCUCUAACUCAAUAAAUUGAUUUUUCACAGGACUCUAUUUAAAGUCUUGUUCUGGGGCGAAACCAGCAGUGUUUUAUAAAGCAAACACUGUCAUGUUUAAGAAAUCAAUCUUUCAGAGGAAGACACGAAAGAAACUAUUUGAUGCAAAGCUGAGUUUUACUAUUGUGUUUCAGAAUCCAAUUUUCUCUGCUUAUAAAGACCAAAGAAAUGCAUCUACUAUUUUGAAAUGUGAAGAAGUCAUACAGGUAAGGUGAGUGGCAAUAUUAGAGAUGGUGGCUGUUCUUUCAAAAUCAGUUCAGUUUUAUCUUUACUAGGAUGUCAUAAAAAAGGGCCUGGAGGAGGGCAUGGCGACCCAGCUCAGUGCCCUUGUCUCGAGAGUCCUACAGACAGAGCUCCCCGGCGGGCUGCGGUCCACAGGGUCACGCAGACGCGGACACGAUGGGAAUGGCUGAGCGGCAGCAGCGUAUGAAAAGGAGCCACACAGGGCACAGCAUUCUGAGACUGACUCAUUCUUUCAGCUUAACGUCUUCAGAGUCACCCACGCAUCAUGUCUUAUCAACAGCUUAUUUCCUCGAAUUGAGGAGUUAAGUCUUUCAUUGUAUGAAUGUGUCAGUUUCUUGAUCCACACAUCUAGGAAGGAUAUUAUGAUGGUUGCCAUUUUUUGGUGGUUAUGAAUAAAAAUGAUGUAAAGCUUGUUUAUAGGC